GUGGAGCGGUAUACGGCUCAGUAACGGGCGAUUUAUUUGUUCUCCUGGGACGGACAACAUCGGGAAACUGAUGGGAAAACGUCUAAGUUGCAGUUAAUUGACUGUGACGUAAACCUUUGUGUGCAGGAGAGUAAGAUGCCAUCCUAUCAGUUAGUAAGUAGGGUAAGGGCCUACUUAGACGAAGACGGGUACGGGGAAUGAGGGUUUGAUUCCGGAGAGGGAGCCUGAGAGAUGGCUACCAGGACCAAGGUCAGCAGCAGGCGCGAAAAUUAUCGAAGCCCGCCUAGGGGCGAUAGUGAGGAGACGUGUAUAACGAAGUACGUGUAAAGAACGUGCUAAUAACUGGAGGUCAAGUCUGGUGCCAGCAUCCGCGGUAAUUCCAGCUCCAGGGGUGUCUAUGAUGAUUGCUGCGAUUAAAAAGUCCGUAGUCAAUCUGACUGACUGACCUGCAAUGUGAUUGAUUAAAGAACGAGCAGGGUUAGGAAAGCAGAGAAUUAGGAGCGACCGAGGGCUAGAGUAUUGAAUGGCGAGAGGUGAAAUUUGAUGACCCAUUCAGGAGUGACAAAGGCGAAGGCACUAGUCAAGGGCGAAUCCGAUGAUCAAGGACGUAGGCUAGAGUUUCGAAAACGAUUAGAGACCGGAGUAGUUCUAGCAGUAAACUAUGCCGACGCCGUGGUAUCAACAAUGGUAUUGCGGAAGAGAAAUCAAGUAAGGCUUUGGGGAGAGUACGCGCGCAAGCGAUAAAUUUAAAGGAAAUUGACGGAGGAACACCACAAGGAGUGGAGUGUGCGGCUUAAUUUGACUCAACGCGGGACAGCUUACCAGGCCCGAUAAUCGAGCGAGCGUAGUACGCGAUAGGUUAAAGAGUGGUGCAUGGCUGCUAUCGACAGUUGGGGUGACCUUAGGGUUAAUUCCGGCAAGUAGUGAGACCCCUGCAGAUAGUGGACAGGUAUUUUUAAAAUACAGGAAGGAAGGGACAAGAGCAGGUCAGUGAUGCCCUUAGAUGGCCUGGGCUGCACGCGCACUACAGUGGUCAUUAUAAGUAGAAGUUAG
rnacentral:rRNA from 1 species